GAGUUUGAUCCUGGCUCAGAACGUACGCUGGCGGCACGCCUAACACAUGCAAGUCGAACGAAGUAGCAAUACUUAGUGGCAGACGGGUGAGUAACAUGUAGGUAUCUGCCCUUUGGCCUGGAAUGACACGAGGAAACUUGUGCUAAUACCGGAUAAGUCUUUACGGAGAAAGCUUUAUGCACCAUUGGAUGAGCCUGCACUUGAUUAGUUUGUUGGUGGGGUAAUGGCCUACCAAGACUGUGAUCAAUAGCUGAUUUGAGAGGAUGAUCAGCCACAUUGGGACUGAGACACGGCCCAAACUCCUACGGGAGGCAGCAGUGGGGAAUCUUGCACAAUGGAGGAAACUCUGAUGCAGCGAUGCCGCGUGAGUGAAGAAGGCCCUUGGGUUGUAAAGCUCUUUCGUCGGGGAAGAAAAUGACUGUACCCGAAUAAGAAGGUCCGGCUAACUUCGUGCCAGCAGCCGCGGUAAUACGAAGGGACCUAGCGUAGUUCGGAAUUACUGGGCUUAAAGAGUUCGUAGGUGGUUGAAAAAGUUAGUGGUGAAAUCCCAGAGCUUAACUCUGGAACUGCCAUUAAAACUUUUCAGCUAGAGUAUGAUAGAGGAAAGCAGAAUUUCUAGUGUAGAGGUGAAAUUCGUAGAUAUUAGAAAGAAUACCAAUUGCGAAGGCAGCUUUCUGGAUCAUUACUGACACUGAGGAACGAAAGCAUGGGUAGCGAAGAGGAUUAGAUACCCUCGUAGUCCAUGCCGUAAACGAUGUGUGUUAGACGUUGGAAAUUUAUUUUCAGUGUCGCAGGGAAACCGAUAAACACACCGCCUGGGGAGUACGACCGCAAGGUUAAAACUCAAAUGAAUUGACGGGGACCCGCACAAGUAGUGGAGCAUGUGGUUUAAUUCGAAGAUACGCGCAGAACCUUACCAACACUUGACAUGUUCGUCGCGACUCUAAGAGAUUAGAGUUUUCGGUUCGGCCGGACGAAACACAGGUGCUGCAUGGCUGUCGUCAGCUCGUGUCGUGAGAUGUUGGGUUAAGUCCCGCAACGAGCGCAACCCUCACUUUUAGUUGCCAUCAUUAAGUUGGGCACUCUGAAAGAACUGCCAGUGAUAAGCUGGAGGAAGGUGGGGAUGACGUCAAGUCCUCAUGGCCCUUACGUGUUGGGCUACACACGUGCUACAAUGGUAUCUACAACAGGAAGCAAGACUGCGAAGUUAAGCAAAUCCCUAAAAGAUACCUCAGUUCGGAUUGCACUCUGCAACUCGAGUGCAUGAAGCUGGAAUUACUAGUAAUCGUGGAUCAGCGUGCCACGGUGAAUGCGUUCCCGGGUCUUGUACACACCGCCCGUCACACCAUGGGAGUUGGUUCUACCUUAAGGCAAGGUUUUAAACCCUUGACCACGGUAUAGUCAGCGACUGGGGUGAAGUCGUAACAAGGUAACC
rnacentral:rRNA from 1 species